rnacentral:tRNA from 1 species
GUCCAGCUGGCUCAAUAGGUAGAGCAUGUGACUUUUAACCUCAGGGUUGUGAGUUCAAGCCCCACGUUGGGUG